GCGAGGCCGCCACCCUCUCGGUCCCUUGCGAAAGCGGCCGCGGGGUGUGCGGAUGAACUGGAGCUUAAUGUCAAAUCCUGGCACAAGAUGUUCAAAAGAAAGACAUUGGCUCCAACUGAACUCUUAGAAGGCAGAUGCUAGGAUCUGCAGCCCGAGGACACGGGGUCUUGCUAUAUUGCACACACUGGUUUCCUGGACUUAAACAAUCCUCCGGCCUCAGCCUCUCAAAGUGCUGGGAUUACAAGCAUGAACCACCACACCCAGCCCAGAAGGAGAUUUUCAUUGAGUGAAUGAAAUUCCACAGUGAACACUUAUACUUCAUCCGUUGACUCUAGAUGACACUGAACCUCACGAUAGGAAACUUUCAGUGUGAGAUGGAUCAUCUCGUUUCAAAGAGCAAAGAACUGAUCCCUGAAAAGAUUGAGAGAAGAUAGAAAGGAAGAUGUAGCACAAAGUGAGAUGGAGUAUUAAUGAGUGGACCACCAGAUCUGCUUCGAAUGUUUUUCAACUUCUGGCUACUCAAGGUGAAGACGACAAGGAUGAAAACAUUUAUGGGGAUCCACUUCCAUUUAACGAAUACUUUAGACUUGGUACUUCAAACUGUUUGGGACAUUCCAGAGCCCACCUUCAUCCAAGCAG